AGAGUUUGAUCAUGGCUCAGAAUCAACGCUGGCGGCGUGGAUAAGACAUGCAAGUCGAACGGAAUUUGGUAGCAAUACUGAGUUCAGUGGCGGACGGGUGCGUAACACGUGAACAAUCUGCCCGGAAGAGGGGGAUAGCCCAGGGAAACUUGGAUUAAUACCCCGUGUGAUCGGAAUGGGCAUCCAUUCCACAUCAAAGGUGCUGCAAGGUGCCGCUUCCGGAUGAGUUCGCGCCCUAUCAGCUUGUUGGCGGGGUAACGGCCCACCAAGGCAAUGACGGGUAGCUGGUCUGAGAGGAUGACCAGCCACACUGGAACUGAGAUACGGCCCAGACUCCUACGGGAGGCAGCAGUCGAGAGGCUUCGGCAAUGGGCGAAAGCCUGACCGAGCGACGCCGCGUGAGCGAUGAAGCCCUUCGGGGUGUAAAGCUCUUUUAUGGGGGAAGAACCGCCGUGAACUAAUACGUCGCGGUCUGACGGUACCCCGUGAAUAAGCUCCGGCUAACUCCGUGCCAGCCGCCGCGGUAAUUCA
rnacentral:rRNA from 1 species